GUAGGUGGCAAGCGUUAUCCGGAAUUAUUGGGCGUAAAGCGCGCGCAGGCGGUUUCUUAAGUCUGAUGUGAAAGCCCACGGCUCAACCGUGGAGGGUCAUUGGAAACUGGGGAACUUGAGUGCAGAAGAGAAAAGCGGAAUUCCACGUGUAGCGGUGAAAUGCGUAGAGAUGUGGAGGAACACCAGUGGCGAAGGCGGCUUUUUUGGUCUGUAACUGACGCUGAGGCGCGAAAGCGUGGGGAGCAAACAGGGAUUAGAUACCCUGGUAGUCCACGCCGUAAACGAUGAGUGCUAAGUGUUAGAGGGUUUCCGCCCCUUUAGUGCUGCAGCUAACGCAUUAAGCACUCCGCCUGGGAGUACGGUCGCAAGACUG
rnacentral:rRNA from 1 species